UCCUGGUCCUGGAUUCACCCUUGCAGCCGUGUGGACAGAGAACCCCAGGCAGUGGAGGCGAGGGUACCGCUCCACCACUACGCAGCCCGACCAGGGAUGUGCCAGUUUCUUGCUGUUGCUAAAGCCCAGGCGUCUCACCAUCAGGGCUGGCUCUCAGACCCUGCUGCACCUCCGUCUCUUCAUUAAAGUCUGCUCCUCUAAGCCAUCUAGAGUGAACUGUUUCCUGUUAGGAUCCUGACCAAUGAUACAGCUUCACCCCUUACUUUCUGUUGGCUUUCAGCAAUCAUCAUCAUCAUUGAACUAAUAAUAACACCAGCCACCACUUACUCAGGGUUUGCCAUAGGCCAGGCACCGGUCAAGUGCUUGAGAUGAUUUCAUUUAGUUCUCACCAUUUCUACCUCUGUGAAUUGGUCCCAUUUUACUGAUGAAGAGCCUGUGGCUUAGAGAAGUAAAAUAACUGGCUUGCAAUCACACAGGAAGAGACUCAAGAGCUGGAUGUGUCCAACUGCAAACCUUCUUUCCAGAACCCUCUAUCCUGACAGUGAUAGAAUGAGCUCCAGGCUAGGAGUAAGGCCUGUCCUGGCCACCUCCUAGCUGUGUGGCCCUGGGCACAGGACAUUUAACUUACUCCAAGAGGCUGAGUUUGUUAGAUGUUUUGUAAACUGUAAUGUACUAAAUUGGUAUAAGAGAUUGGAAAAUCA